GACAGAGGGUGCAAACGUUGUUCGGAAUUACUGGGCGUAAAGCGUGCGUAGGCGGUUGGCUAAGUCAGAUGUGAAAGCCCUGGGCUCAACCUGGGAAUGGCAUUUGAAACUGGCUGGCUAGAGUGUGAUAGAGGAUGGCGGAAUUCCCGGUGUAGCGGUGAAAUGCGUAGAGAUCGGGAGGAACAUCCGUGGCGAAGGCGGCCAUCUGGAUCAACACUGACGCUGAGGCACGAAAGCGUGGGGAGCAAACAGGG
rnacentral:rRNA from 1 species